AUAUGAUGUGAAGAAUGUGAAAGCACUUUACCAUAAUUAAUUGUUACAUCAUAAAAGAGGGAUCAUAGAAUAUAUAUAUUGAUUGUUGUAUGUUCAUUUGAUUUUGAUCAGCAGUAGCAGUUUUAUAAGCUUAGGACACACAAGUAAUCCUUGGGUUAAGGUACUGUAUCAGCUUGCAUAUAUUAUGAUUCUUGAACCAUUUUUUCCCUACAUUAAGUCAAUGUUGUAGAUUGAUGGUCAUGGAGAUUAAUUGUCAUUGGAAGCCUACUUUUUUAUGUUAAAUUUCUAAAAAAAUUACUAUGAAAUGUAUUGUUAUGAACUUAUGGCGUAUACUAUGGUGGAAGUUCAGUACAUUUCGAAGAGCUGUAACUAGUAGCCCAUAAUCUGGCUAAAUGGGCAGGAAGAACAGGUGCCAUGGAGAGCUGAACAAUGAACAUAUCCCUACAUGCAUAUUCCAAGACCACAAGGAGUUUGAGCAAGGCACAUCUUUCACAGGUUUGCAACUGGAGUGGACACAUAAA